CUGACGCAGCGACGCGCGUGGAGGAUGAAGGUUUUCGGAUCGUAAACUCCUGUCAGAAGGGAAGAAACCUGCAAAAAGUAAUAUGUUUUGCAGCUGACGGUACCUUCAGAGGAAGCACCGGCUAAUUCCGUGCCAGCAGCCGCGGUAAUACGGAAGGUGCAAGCGUUAAGCGGAAUCACUGGGCGUAAAGCGCUCGUAGGUGGCUUUGUAAGUCAGGUGUGAAAGCCCACGGCUCAACCGUGGAAUUGCACUUGAUACUGCAUUGCUUGAGUUCGGGAGAGGGUAGUGGAAUUCCAGGUGUAGGAGUGAAAUCCGUAGAGAUCUGGAGGAACACCAGUGGCGAAGGCGACUACCUGGACCGAUACUGACACUGAGGAGCGAAAGCGUGGGGAGCAAACAGGAUUAGAUACCCUGGUAGUCCACGCUGUAAACGAUGGAUACUAGGUGUCGGGGCUUGACUUCGCGUGCCGUAGCUAACGAGUUAAGUAUCCAA
rnacentral:rRNA from 1 species